rnacentral:lncRNA from 1 species
CACGCAGAGGCUGCCGGGAAAUACAGGGAAGUUGGAGCCCCCUCUUCAUCAUGGAAUUUGGGGCAUCCCUGGUCUCCUGGUGGCUGUGGACUUGCAAAUACCCAGUUGUCCACAGACCUGUUGGCAAAUGGAUGUCCCGAGCGAGGGAGAUAUGCCUGGUGGGAAGGAGGAGUCCUGUGAAGAAUAGAGCCAGCUAAACACAGCAGAGAAGCAACAGAUGACAAAAAGCAACUGUCCAGAAGGCUGGCAGAACUGGGUUUGGGCCCAUGCUACGCAAUCCAGACAUGCCUGUAGCAUCCUUUGAAGGGACUCAAGUCUGUAGGCGAAAGUGUGAGUCUAGGAGCUGGUGAAUUUGCAUCCAGAGAGGGGGGGAUCUUGGGAAACAUGGAGAUACCCCCAUUUCUACACAUUUCAGUGUAGCUAAUUCAAGAUUGAAAAAGUAAGAAUGAAGUAUAUCUGAUUUUUCCAGUAAAAAAAAAAACCAUCAUAGCAUGUCAUCUGAAACUGCUGCUACUACAGAGAGAUUAGCAGGAUCUCAAAGUUAGUUAAGAUUGGUGGAGGGUCUCUUUACUGACGACCACAAAGCUAUUUAAAUGCAUAUGUUCAUGACAUACAGAAAGGUUAUUUGGAACUGGUUUCAGUUGAAGGACGGCCUUUUAGCUAACAGUUUACACUCAAUAUUGUCACCUCACUCCCUUUUCUCUCUCUUCCUCAGUCUUCCUCCAUCUCUUUUCCCAUUUUCUCUGUAUUUUUCUUUCUUUCUCAGUACUCUGUCUCAUAAAAUUGUUCAAUACUUUUCCUGGAUUAUUUAAGAAGUUAAUAAAAACUCUCUGUCUUCCCUUUAGUUAUUCAAAGGCUUUUAUUAAAUCGUUGAAGGAAAUAAAA